rnacentral:rRNA from 1 species
GGGGAAUAUUGCACAAUGGGCGCAAGCCUGAUGCAGCAACGCCGCGUGAGGGAUGACGGCCUUCGGGUUGUAAACCUCUUUUAGUAGGGAAGAAGCGAAAGUGACGGUACCUGCAGAAAAAGCACCGGCUAACUACGUGCCAGCAGCCGCGGUAAUACGUAGGGUGCAAGCGUUGUCCGGAAUUAUUGGGCGUAAAGAGCUCGUAGGCGGCUUGUCGCGUCUGCUGUGAAAACCCGGGGCUCAACCCCGGGCCUGCAGUGGGUACGGGCAGGCUAGAGUGCGGUAGGGGAGAUUGGAAUUCCUGGUGUAGCGGUGGAAUGCGCAGAUAUCAGGAGGAACACCGAUGGCGAAGGCAGAUCUCUGGGCCGCUACUGACGCUGAGGAGCGAAAGCAUGGGGAGCGAAC